rnacentral:lncRNA from 11 species
AAACCCUUAAUUAAUCUAGAAUUGAAGCAUUUCCUCAACACAUGUGGAGCAGCCAAGUAUUUCACAGCAUCUCUUGGCACCUGAGAGCAGGAUAUGUAGAUGUAUUCAAAGAAGCCUUCACUGAUGGCUCGUUGCAGCAGAACCAAGAAGAAUGACAACCAGCCAAUCGCUAAUGCUGCUUUUCAGAAGACUGACUGAAAACUAGGUCUUGCUCUGUGGCAGAGAUGUCAAUCAACCAUCACUUGGAGUGACAGCAAUAUGACGUUUGCCUAGAGAAACAUUCAAAACCUUUCCUUCUCAGUGGAAUCAGCCCAGGGGAUUUCUUCUUUUAAAAAGGAGGGAUGUUUCAAUGACAGAUAUUACAGUUGCUCUGGGUGGUCCCCUUUGAUUGUC